CGACUGCAUUAUACCAAGGAUACAGACAGGGGAGGAUACUAUAAAACAGUGUUUGCUGCAACACAGCGGUUUCAGGUUUCAGGUCAAUGAAAUGUUGACAUGACGAAUUUGACAUAGAGGGAAGAUCGGGGCAGACUGUCAGCUGAUAUGUUGACAUGACUUCUGACCGGACACAAAUGUCAUUAUUAUAUCAUCAACAGCAACUGACAGGCGGUAGAGACCUCCAGCUACAGCUACAGCUUCAACAAGAACUGCUCCAAGAACUGUCAGCCAGCAGGAAUGACACGUCUUAGGAAACAUUUGAUCUGAAACACAGGAUGUAGAAUUAUUACAAUACCUAAUGCUUAUUACACAUUAAAUGACUUUUAAAACAGGA